rnacentral:pre_miRNA from 1 species
UCAUCAAUACCGGCGCUGAAGUCUCGUGGUUCUGCAGCAUAAUAUCGUUCAUGUAGCACCAUGAGAUUCAGCUCCGGUGUUUGAUAC